AGUUAAUCACGGGGGUGCUUUCGUAAAAGCUGAGAGAAGUUGGCUCAAGACUUCAACCCUUGGAACCUGAUCCGGUUCGUACCGGCGUAGGAAAUGUGGUUGAAGCUUUGGC
rfam:Desulfobacter postgatei 2ac9 chromosome, whole genome shotgun sequence.